rnacentral:rRNA from 1 species
UACGGAGGGAGCUAGCGUUAUUCGGAAUUACUGGGCGUAAAGCGCACGUAGGCGGCUUUGUAAGUUAGAGGUGAAAGCCUGGAGCUCAACUCCAGAAUUGCCUUUAAGACUGCAUCGCUUGAAUCCAGGAGAGGUGAGUGGAAUUCCGAGUGUAGAGGUGAAAAUUCGUAGAUAUUCGGAAGAACACCAGUGGCGAAGGCGGCUCACUGGACUGGUAUUGACGCUGAGGUGCGAAAAGCGUGGGGAGCAAACAGG